AUUUUCUAUAACGAAACGUCAAGUUCGCACAUUUCUUGCUGGAUUGUCCAUGGAGUCGAAGCUCACACGCCUAAUUAACAUGCCAAUGAGUCGGCAGUAAGGACAAGAGCCCCAGUGUGUUCAUUCGUUCGGAACACCACCUAGCAGUAACACCCAAAACACAAAGCCAAAAAUGGCUUUCCCUUUGCCGUCCCAAAAUGUCUUGGUUGGCGUUUUCGGAAGUGGACAGGGGAUGGUUAGCUGUCAUACACUCAAGCUCGGGCUUAAACAAACAAUGGUUUCUGAUCUGCCACAACCAACCAUCAACACUAUGAGGAGGGAAUGAGGAACACACACUGAACGACACCGAGAGAGCCUUCCAGCAUGCUCUCUAACACAGCGCAGGUCCGUGUGAGAUGGGCUAACACAUACAUCCUACACGUGUACACGUCCUACACAUACAUAUAACCUACGUGUUUCGGUUAUACUAAGAUGGAGAUUCUCAGCAAAACGAUGAACAAACUUACACAUUCGAAAAUUCAACGAUCGGAAUUUUCGAAAACAUACACUAACUACACACCGCAGGUCCAUGCAAGACAGGCGAAUUUCUGAUCCGAACUCUACACUACAAGUUAAACGACAAACUAGGAUAAGGAACUAUCGGAAUUUUCGAUAUAUAAACUACACAUCCAGGCCCAUGUAUGAUGGGCUUGUUUCUGAUCCAAACUACACUACAAGUUGAACGACAAACUAGGUUAAGGAACGAAUAGCUCAGAUCGCAGGUCCAUGUAAGACGGGCUUGCUUCUGAUCCAAACUCUAGGCUAAGGAACUAUCAGAAUUUUCGAUAUAUAAAAGUAAAAAAAAAACUCUUCGCACUACAAGUUGAGCGGCAAACUAGUUUAAGGAACGAACUCUGGAACUGAUGCUACUACAAGGAUACCCAUUAACUAGCUGUAACCAACUUUGCUUUGAGCUGUGCCGCCCAACAUAAGCUGGACACAUUGGAUGGACUCUCGGGAAUAUCUGAUGCUGCUACGAAUCCCUACUAUGAUCUAGAAUAACACAUAAAACGACGACGAGUUCUUGCUGUGUGUUUGCUGCGAAAUGUAUUUCUUUCUGUGUAGAACUCGAGUGAGUUCAGCCUUUUAUUGCAUUAUUAUUGGUAAAUAAACAAAGUGAGCGGCA